GCGGGUGUGGUGUAAUGGUAGCCACGAGAGACUCAAAAUCUCUUGGAUUCACGUCCGUGGGGGUUCAAGUCCCUCCACCCGCACCA
rnacentral:tRNA from 4 species